UUUCCCGUUCCAUAUUCUUCUUCAUUCUCUCUCUUCCUUCUCCAAUGGCGACGUUUCCUUCUCCCUCUCCUCCUCUUCUCCCUGACUCGAUCCCUACUACCAAUUCUAUGUUUGCUUCAGGCCCUCAGAUUCUGACUCUGCUUCUUCUCACCACCGUGAUAGUGGAGAUGCCACCGAGCUUUUGAUUCCUUCUCCUCCAUGACUCUCCACUCCGCAGAUAUCAAUCGGAAUUCUGAUCAGAUUCCGGAUACCAAUAUCCACAUGCCCUGAAUUUACUGGUGACGCCUCCUCCAUGGCUUCUCCACCGCUUGCUUCUCCGUCUGCACCGACCGCGGCUUCCGGAUCCUUAACUGUGAUAAGUUUAACGAGAUUUUUUUCCUGCGUGAUUUGGAUCGUGAGGUGAGGUCGCCGUCGUGGAAAUGCUUUUCAUAUGCAAUAUACUGGCCUCUUUGUAGGCGGAAGAUCAUGAUUUGGGACGAUUCAGUGAAGUUCAUUGCGUUCUCCCUCUCAAGCAUUAAGAAACGGAUUAGAGGCAAAGCAGAUCUUGAUUCUGUUAAACGGUGGUGCAAGGAUCCAUUGGUCCGAUUGCGCCCAGGUUCAGGGACCAUUUCAGCGAAGGUUCUGUCUAUAUCCUCAUCGGUUUCGACGUAACCCGAAUUUCCGGAUGUCUGAUGCCCCUCUCUCCAUAUGGUUCAACGCCGGCACUACUUUCGAAAAGCUAACGGAUUCCGUAAGACCAAUACCUACUGAGCUGUUCAGAUUUCAACCUCACGAUCAGUUACAAGCACUUGCAAACACGAACAAGCAACUUCCUGGUAUGUUUCUUGAAUUCGAGUUCUGGUCUGGUAUUUGAUAAGACACUGGACAUGUAAUGAUGUAACCUUUGUUUAUAUAGACGGACCUUAUAGGUUACGGUGAUUCAGUGCACUGCUUAUACGAUGAAGGGGUAAUGAGAGAAUGUUAGACAUGAUGAGUUCACUGCUUAGACAAGAAAGUCACGUUCACUAUGUGAAUUGGUAUUUUGUUGUGAAACAGUGUGUUUAGGUAGAGCAUGUGGACAGUGUGUGUUCUUUCGUUGGUUGACUGACUGCAAGUCGCGUCUCUGAUAUUAGAAUGCAUCCUUCCAAUUAACUUCCAUUAAUAUGUACAGCACACUAUUGGAUUUAUCUAUCACUUUGAUUAAUGUGAAGUUUAUGCUACCUGAAAUAUGUAAACUCUGUCUUCGUUGUAAAAUCUGCUAGCCUUUCUUACAUAUGUUGGUCUCUUUGCUUGAUGUGAAUUUGCCGCUACCUAAAUAUGCAAUCUCUGUGUUUGUUGUCUUAUCAAUAGGAAGGUGCACAGGUCCUCCAAUAAGCGCAGCCUCAAGUUUGGCACCAGGUUCAGAUCUCAAAGUUGAUAACACUUGCAGUGUUGGAGAGGAGUCCCCAACAUCUGACGAUUCACUUGCAGGACAUAUAUCAUCAGAGAGAGAAGUUGCUUUGGAUGAGAGUGCUCUGAAGAAAGCACGUGUGGAUGAGUCCAGUAUUUUCCUGUUUUCUUUAAUUCUAUUCCCUUUAAAAAAAAACACUCAAGGCAAUUUUUGUUGUUUUGCUUACUAAUAAAGCUCCUUUCCAAUUUA